rnacentral:rRNA from 1 species
CGUACCACGGGACGCAGCAGUAGGGAAUUUUCGUAAAUGGGCGCAAGCCUGAACGAGCAAUGCCGCGUGAACGAGGAAGGUCUUCGGAUCGUAAAGUUCUGUUGAAGGGGAAAAAGAGCGGAGAGAGGAAAUGAACUCCGAUUGAUAUUACCCUUCGAGGAAGUCACGGCUAACUACGUGCCAGCAGCCGCGGUAAUACGUAGGUGGAGAGCGUUAUCCGGAAUGAUUGGGCGUAAAGGGGGCGUA